rnacentral:rRNA from 1 species
UUUAACAAAAACAUGUCCUUUAGGGUUAAAUUUAAGGUCGGGCCUGCCCCCUGAUGUAAUAUUAAAGGGCCGCGGUAUUUUGACCGUGCAAAGGUAGCAUAAUCAUUAGUCUUUUAAUUGAAGGCUGGAAUGAAUGGUUUGACGAAAUAUCAACUGUCUCUUUAUAAUAAGUGGAAUUUAACUUUUGAGUUAAAAGGCUUAAAUUGAUAUAAAAGACGAGAAGACCCUAUAGAUCUUUAUAUAAGAGGAUAUUUAUUUUGUUUGGUAGUAUUAUUUAUAAAUAUAUUAUUGUAUUUUGUUGGGGUGACAUGAAGAUAAAAGUAACUCUUUAUAAUUGAAACAUUGAUGUAUGGAAAGAUGAUCCAUUAUUAGUGAUUAUAAGAUAAAGUUACCUUAGGGAUAACAGCGUAAUUUUUUUUGAGAGUUCAUAUCGACAAGAAAGAUUGCGACCUCGA